rnacentral:rRNA from 1 species
UACAGAGGGGGCGAAGCGUUGUUCGGAAUUACUGGGCGUAAAGGGCGCGUAGGCGGCCUGCUAAGUCGAACGUGAAAUCCCUGGGCUCAACCCAGGAACUGCGUCCGAUACUGGUUGGCUUGAAUCCGGGAGAGGGAUGUGGAAUUCCAGGUGUAGCGGUGAAAUGCGUAGAUAUCUGGAGGAACACCGGUGGCGAAGGCGACAUCCUGGACCGGUAUUGACGCUGAGGCGCGAAAGCCAGGGGAGCAAACGGG